rnacentral:rRNA from 1 species
GAUGAACGCUAGCGACAGGCUUAACACAUGCAAGUCGAGGGGCAGCACGGUGUAGCAAUACAUUGGUGGCGACCGGCGCACGGGUGAGUAACGCGUAUGCAACCUACCUAUCAGAGGGGAAUAACCCGGCGAAAGUCGGACUAAUACCGCAUAAAACAGGGGUUCCACAUGGAAAUAUUUGUUAAAGAUUUAUCGCUGAUAGAUGGGCAUGCGUUCCAUUAGAUAGUUGGUGAGGUAACGGCUCACCAAGUCUACGAUGGAUAGGGGUUCUGAGAGGAAGGUCCCCCACACUGGUACUGAGACACGGACCAGACUCCUACGGGAGGCAGCAGUGAGGAAUAUUGGUCAAUGGGCGAGAGCCUGAACCAGCCAAGUCGCGUGAAGGAUGAAGGAUCUAUGGUUUGUAAACUUCUUUUAUAUGGGAAUAAAGUGAGGAACGUGUUCCUUUUUGUAUGUACCAUAUGAAUAAGCAUCGGCUAACUCCGUGCCAGCAGCCGCGGUAAUACGGAGGAUGCGAGCGUUAUCCGGAUUUAUUGGGUUUAAAGGGUGCGUAGGUGGUUUUUUAAGUCAGCGGUGAAAGUUUGUGGCUCAACCAUAAAAUUGCCGUUGAAACUGGGGAACUUGAGUAUAUUUGAGGUAGGCGGAAUGCGUGGUGUAGCGGUGAAAUGCAUAGAUAUCACGCAGAACUCCGAUUGCGAAGGCAGCUUACUAAACUAUAACUGACACUGAAGCACGAAAGCGUGGGGAUCAAACAGGAUUAGAUACCCUGGUAGUCCACGCAGUAAACGAUGAUUACUAGCUGUUUGCGAUACACAGUAAGCGGCACAGCGAAAGCGUUAAGUAAUCCACCUGGGGAGUACGCCGGCAACGGUGAAACUCAAAGGAAUUGACGGGGGCCCGCACAAGCGGAGGAACAUGUGGUUUAAUUCGAAGCAACGCGAAGAACCUUACCAAGUCCUGACAUCCUUCUGACCGGUACUUAAUCGUACCUUCUCUUCGGAGCAGGAGUGACAGGUGGUGCAUGGUUGUCGUCAGCUCGUGUCGUGAGAUGUUGGGUUAAGUCCCGCAACGAGCGCAACCCUUAUCUUUAGUAGCCAGCGGUCAGGCCGGGCACUCUAGAGAGACUGCCAGGGAUAACCUGGAGGAAGGCGGGGAUGACGUCAAAUCAUCAUGCCCCUUAUGACUUGGGCUACACACGUGCUACAAUGGCGUAAACAAAGGGAAGCAAAGCUGUGAAGCCGAGCAAAUCUCAAAAAUAACGUCUCAGUUCGGACUGUAGUCUGCAACCCGACUACACGAAGCUGGAAUCGCUAGUAAUCGCAGAUCAGAAUGCUGCGGUGAAUACGUUCCCGGGUCU